rnacentral:lncRNA from 1 species
GUUUUUCUACCCAAUUAUGGCAUUUCAGCUGAGACUCUCUCUCUCUCUCUAAAGAUAUGGCUUUUUACUUAAGAAAACUGCACUCUCUACACUUCGAUUGCAUUCACAGGUAUAUACAUACGCGUUACGUAAUGCAUAUAUUAUUCUGUGUAGACUGUGGUUUAUGCUAAUCGUUUAUUAUAUAUGCGUUUUUAACGUGGUAAUGGAUUUAUUUAUUUAUUUGUGGAAUUUACCGCAGAAACCUGUGAUUCGUUAAUGUUAUCAUGGCGUGGAUUUCAUAUCGAACCUGGAACUCGUGAGAUGUGAGUAUUAGAGUUUUUCUCUUUCCGUUUGACUGAUUUUAUUAUUAUUUAUUAUUAUUAUUAUUAUUAUUAUUAUUAUUAUUAUUAUUAUUAUUAUUAUUAUUAUUAUCUAGAAUAAGUUUUACGUGCUUCGAAUAAGCUUUAUUUAUUUAUUUUAUCUAAUUUCAUAAGUUAUAGUCGUUCAGAUCUGAACAUAUAUAUCAACUUAAUGAACAGAAUUGUUUUUUGAGUAGUCUGAAGAGAAGGAGGAUUGCUAAUUUGAUAUAUGGAUUUCUUGUAAAUUUGAUUGCUGCAUGUUAUGUUCAUUUGAGAUAAAUGAUGUUUUUUGUUAAAUUGAUCAGGCGAUAAUGAGACUAAUCAAGUUGUAGGCUUCUUAUAUAAUUUUCUUGCUUAGCUGGACAGGGGUUUUGAAUUUAAGAGCUAGAUUGCAUUUUGUGGAUUGAAAAUCUAGCUAUGAAAUUGUAGUCAGAAAAUUUCAGAUUUUGAAGUCAAAUUUGAAUUUAUUUAUUUUUUCUAAUUUUUCUUACUGAAGUUCCUCUAUGCAAUGCUGGAAACAUAAAUUUGGGUUUUUUUUUUAACAAUUCCAUUUACAAAGGUUACUUGUCAAUGUACUUCAUCACAUUUAAGACCUUGUUUUUUUUUUUUUAAAAAAAUAAAAAAUUACUUCCCAUCUAUGGAGAUCAAUGAGAUACCUUAACAGGAAGCAUAGUGUUUCUUAUGCUUAAGGACUCGAGCAUUAGGCAAGGCCUUCAUUGCCCCAGUUGAUGUAGGCAAAUUCCGUUGAUGAGGUUUUCCAUAAUCAUUUUCCUUUUAUUCAUUUACAUUUUUGUGGGAAUGUGGUAAGCAGAGAUGGCAAUGGGGCAGGUCGAAAUUUUCUUGCCCCAUACCCGGCCCAUUAACCGUUUAAGGUGGGGUGAGUCGGGGGGCAGGGUGGGGCGUUUGCCCCGUUUAUGUACCCUUCUUUUAAGUUUUUGAUAAUUUAUUUUAUUGCUCCCAUUUAUUAAAGUGAGACAAUAAUGUAGUUAUUAAAUUUUUUAAUUAAUUAAUUAAUUUUUAAAAGUUAAAUUAUUAGAAUAUAUUUGAUAAACUAAGGGCCUUAUUGUUUAUCAUAGAUUCAUAUUCCUUAGAUAAUCUUAUCGUCAUUUUCUAUUAGAAUUAAUGAAAUUUUGGUGGAGAUUUCCAUUUAAAUUAUCGAAUUCUUAAAAAAUCCGUCAUACACCAUUGUAGAAAUUAAAGAAAAAUAAAUAAAUGAAACUAUUAAAUGGAAUGGGUUGAUUUUAAAUAAAUAGCCCAUUUAAUUUCAUUAAAGCAUAAAAUUCUACCAAGUAAAUGAAACCUCACAUCCAUACAGCCUUUAAUUAUUGAGUCACUCAAAUGGAACUAAGCUGGGAUGAUUCAUUAACUGCGAGUCUUGUAAUGACAAAGCCAAGACCAUGCAAGAAAUGUUGUCCAUUAGGCCCCUAGAGCAGGGCCUGACAAGACCAGCUGAAGGGGCGGGACGGGCUUAUAUGUUUAACAAGUACUCGCCUCGUCCCCAACCUGAUUACCUGAUUAAGCAGGCCUCGUGGGUAUUGGAUAUGACGGAUUUUUUUGCCACCCUAGGCAAGCUUGCUCCAAUAAGUUGGGAAAAUUGGAAUAAUCUAUUUGAUCUCAGGACGUCAAAGUUUAGAGAUGCACCACUUGACUAUGAACAUUAUAAUUUAGUUUAUAUUGAUGUACAUGGCAUUGUUUUAACCCCUCAAUCUCCUACAUAAUCAUAAUCAUAAUCAUAAUCAUAAUCAUUAUCUGCCUUGGCAAACUUCUUAUUAACCUCUUAUAGUGUUCAUUUAUAUAAAGAUUUGUGGUUUGCUCCUUUAAUCUUUUUUCAUUAGUUUUCUGCUCUAUUGGCUCAUUUGUUAAUGAAGAUAAACUUUAUUAGUUGAUGGUCAGCAUGAUAUAUUUUUUUUAAACUUUAUUUAUUUAUUUAUUUAUUUUUUGCUGUUAAAAUCAGUCUCAAAACUUCAUAUGUAGCAUCUGAACAUAUAUUUGCUGCACGAUUCUUCUGGGUGGUGACAUAUCAAAGGAUAGUCCAUCCACAGGUCCUUUCCACCCAGAUGAUCAUACAAAUUAGGUAUGAAGCAUUUCAGAGAAUUUUUUUGUCAGUUGAAAGGAUCUUGUUUGAACCUAUUGCAUGGCUCUAAUUGUAUUCAUGGGAACGUUCAUGUUCCAAGCCUUAGUAGAUAUUAUUUAUUCUUCUCUCUGUCUCUCUGUGGAAUUAAAUGAACAUAUCUGGAGAAGUGUGGCAGGUGUACUUGAUUUUUCUUCAUAGACACCUUUGUCUUUAUGUUCAUGAACUCAAGUAGGUGAUUUCUUGUCCUCUUGCAUUGGUUCUGAAAUAAGCUUAUUGUCUUCCAGCUCUUAGCUGAGGAUCCAGCACUAAAGCGCUUCAAAUCACAUAAGACAAGCGUUCGGCGAUUAAAAGUAGUAGGAGAUGCUCUUACAGUGCUAGUUGUAGCUGGUAUGCCAAUCUCUUCACCACAAAUUAUAAUUGAUUCUAUCAACUUUAUAUUUGCUCAAUGACUAACAGGGGUGCAAUACAAAACCUAGUGGGGUGUCAUGUGAUCAUUUUUGUUUAGCUAAUUUCUGUUUAUUGCUAAUAGACCUGCAACACAUAAAACCUAAGAGCUGUGGGGUAAAAGAGCCAUAAAAUGCAUUGUGGAUGUUGGGAAUUGGGAUGACCUAUAUUCUUUGAGUUGGUAUAAGAAUAAUCUGAUUAUUCACUUGAUUUAUUGACUGGUGAUCUAUUGACUGGUUAGUUAGGAAAUCAAGAAUGACAAUAAUGAACAGUUCAUAUAAUCUCUGCAUAUGUUAGUAAAGGUUCAUAUCACCACUUAGGGCUUGUAUCUGAUUGUUUAUUCUGGACGGUGACAUUUAGAGAGACUUUCUUUGCUGGAAUCUUAGGUGAUGUAGAAAUACAUUGUCUGUUAUAUAAGUCUGUCACAAAUAAAUUCAACUUCUCUUCUCUUCCAUGCAAUCUUGUUUCACUGGGAUACUUGUCUUUUACUCUAUUCUAUCAAGGAUUAAUCCCGCUGUUACUUGUAUUGCUCGUCUCCCUUAUUACCAUUAGGUCAUGGCUGAAGUGAAACGUGAAUACUGGGUCACACAUCUGAUAGUUGAAUAUAUCUGUGGAAGGCCAAGAGCUUCUAUGUCUUGCACUGUCCUGUCCAGUUUCUGCAACAGUCGGACUUCUGUUCUGUUGUGUUCUAUCAUGUUUGAGAAUGAUGUUUCAUAUUACUUUCCCAAGAGGCACAAUUGUGUCUCUAGUCGCACCUUCAAAUGACAUUUUGGAAUUUUUUUUUCAUUUUUGGGGUUCGUGACGAGGCAUAGAUUUGACUGAUAGAUUACUUUCAACUUGUUUACUAUGUGAAUGAACAUGAUAUACUUUUUAGGACUGGUUUGUUUGCAGUAUUUGUUAGGAUUGGACAGUAAAAUUGACAAAAUUCAACCUUUUCUUCUCUGCUACUGUUCCUAACUGUACAAUCAACUCUACCAAAGAAGCCAUUAAGGUCAAAUUUCUCGUUAUUAAUAAACUGGUUUCUACCUUGCUAUCCUUCACCUUUGUUACAGGAUGCUGCUACGAGAUUUAUAUUAAAGCGGAAAUUCGAGAAGAAGCCUGUAAUCAAGCGAAAGAGAGUGCAUAACUUUGGAAGCCCCAACAUUAACACCGUUUUCCAUCCUCUAAAGAGGGGGAUAGAUUUUUCGCCUAUAGGUGUUCCACGCUGUCAUGCAAAAUAUUAACUGAGCAAGGGAAAUGGACAUUAUGAUGAUAUGGUACAACAGACAUUUUUCCGGGACCCUAAUGAUUGACGGACACAGAGACUUUGAGUUAGUGGGACACGAUCAAAUUGUUUAUCUUAAUAUGGUCAACCUUGUUAAGAGGAGUAGUUUAAGAUCUUUUUAAAUUGGUCAAUAUUUCGGUAUUUAACCGAUGUGAAAUUUUUAUCCCGUGAAUCAGCCGAAAAAAGAGGACCAGAUUCUACAGCAGAAUUAUGCACAUCAGCACCUACCUAUACUGCCAAGAAAAGAGGUUCAGAUUAGGAUAAGAUUCUAGUACAGAAUUAUCUCAACUUUCUUUUGAAUUAGAGUGGAAUAUUGUAACAAUAUAUGCUAGUCAGUCUCCUAAGGUAACUCAGUUCAGUUGGUGUAAAUGUCUAUAUAAACUUAUUCAAUGCAUACGUUUGGGAUUAAGCCAAACAAUUCAAAG